GACGAACGCUGGCGGCGUGCCUAAUACAUGCAAGUAGAACGCACAGUUUAUACCGUAGCUUGCUACACCAUAGACUGUGAGUUGCGAACGGGUGAGUAACGCGUAGGUAACCUGCCUGGUGGCGGGGGGUAACAAUUGGAAACGAUAGCUAAUACCGCAUAAUAUUAAUUAUUGCAUGAUAAUUAAUGGAAAGGUGCAAUUGCACCACUACCAGAUGGACCUGCGUUGUAUUAGCUAGUAGGGGAGGUAACGGCUCACCUAGGCGACGAUACAUAGCCGACCUGAGAGGGUGAUCGGCCACAAUGGGACUGAGACACGGCCCAGACCCCUACGGGAGGCAGCAGUAGGGAAUCUUCGGCAAUGGACGAAAGUCUGACCGAGCAACGCCGCGUGAGUGAAGAAGGUUUUCGGAUCGUAAAGCUCUGUUGUAAGAGAAGAACGGGUGUGGGAGUGGAAAGUGCACACUGUGACGGUAUCUUACCAGAAAGCGACGGCUAACUACGUG
rnacentral:rRNA from 1 species